GAUCUCGUUUCGCGGCAGCCCUCUGUUCUUGAGCGGGAACGCAAGGUUCUCACCCACGGUCAUGGUGUCGUAGAUCACCGGGAACUGGAACACCUGCGCGAUGUUGCGCUCGCGCGUGGUGGCGUGCGUGAUGUCGGUGCCGUCGAAUAGUACCUUGCCGUGCGAUGGCGUGACGAUACCCGAAAUGAUGUUCAACAGCGUGGUCUUGCCGCAGCCGCUUGGGCCCAGCAGCGCGUAAGCGCCGCCUUGCUGCC
rnacentral:misc_RNA from 1 species